rnacentral:rRNA from 1 species
GAUGAACGCUGGCGUCGUGCCUAAUACAUGCAAGUCGAGCGAACAGACGAGGAGCUUGCUCCUCUGACGUUAGCGGCGGACGGGUGAGUAACACGUGGAUAACCUACCUAUAAGACUGGGAUAACUUCGGGAAACCGGAGCUAAUACCGGAUAAUAUAUUGAACCGCAUGGUUCAAUAGUGAAAGACGGUUUUGCUGUCACUUAUAGAUGGAUCCGCGCCGCAUUAGCUAGUUGGUAAGGUAACGGCUUACCAAGGCAACGAUGCGUAGCCGACCUGAGAGGGUGAUCGGCCACACUGGAACUGAGACACGGUCCAGACUCCUACGGGAGGCAGCAGUAGGGAAUCUUCCGCAAUGGGCGAAAGCCUGACGGAGCAACGCCGCGUGAGUGAUGAAAGUCUUCGGAUCGUAAAACUCUGUUAUUAGGGAAGAACAAAUGUGUAAGUAACUAUGCACGUCUUGACGGUACCUAAUCAGAAAGCCACGGCUAACUACGUG